rnacentral:rRNA from 1 species
UCCAGUGGCCUAGCUGAAGGGGAAACACCCGUUCCCAUUCCGAAUACGGCAGUUAAGACCUUUGAGGCCGAUGGUACUGCAGGAGUAAUCCUGUGGGAGAGUAGGAAGCUGCUGGAU